rnacentral:rRNA from 1 species
UGCUGGUCCCCCAAGCGGGGGGGCAUGUGCACGCUCUGUUUGCACAUCCACUCACACCUGUGCACCUUCUGUAGUUCUGUGGCCUGGGGGACUCGUCCUCCUGCUGUGGUUCUGCAUCUUUACACAUACACUGUAACAAAGUCUCAUGGGAUGUACACCGCGUUUAACGCAAUAUAAUACAACUUUCAGCAACGGAUCUCUUGGCUCUCGCAUCGAUGAAGAACGCAGCGAAAUGCGAUAAGUAAUGUGAAUUGCAGAAUUCAGUGAAUCAUCGAAUCUUUGAACGCACCUUGCGCCCUUUGGCUAUUCCGAAGGGCAUGCCUGUUUGAGUAUCAUGAACACCUCAACUCUCAUGGUUUGCCAUGAUGAGCUUGGACUUUGGGGGUCUUGCCGGCCUGCAGGUUGGCUCCUCUCAAUAAAUCAGCUUGCAGUGUUUGGUGGCAUCGCAGGUGUGAUAACUAUCUACGCUUGUGGUUCCCACCAGAUAGCCUUCAGCGAUGGAGGUCACUGAGCUACAAAUGUCUCUCUCAGCGAGACAGCUCUUUGAUGUUGAUCUCAA